GCCCUACCCAUGACUCUCAAAGUGGUGAUCGUUUGACAGUUGAGAUAUUUUCUGACGUUUGUGAUGAUGUCUGCGCAACAACUGCUAUAGAUGGAUUAGCACAAGCCGGGACCGAGUACAAACAUUCCUUUGGCGCUUCCGAUUUUGGUGAUCCCACGAUGAUUUCACUUACAACUUCAGGAGAUGACCAGCUCAUUCUAGACUGGGUUGAAGUAUACAAUGGUGAGACUAAGAAAUUCUACCAUUUUAGCUGUCCCUCUAAUGGUUGCCGCUUAUCAACUGAUCCCAAAGAGGGUGACCAACAGGUAGUCUUAGACGUUGAUGCGCAUCACACCCUAACACUCAGGACCAGCGCUACUAGAGAUUCAAAAAGUUCCGAUUCUCUGACAGUUAGCAUAUAUUCUGACGUUUGUGAUAAUGUCUGCAAGACAAUGGUUUUUUCUGGACAUACAGAAGACGGGACCGAAUACGAACAUCCCUUUCCCGCUCCCGACUUUGGUGAUCCGACAGUGAUUCGACUUCAAAUUUCAGGAAACGACGAACUCAUACUAGACUGGGUUGAGGUAUUCAAUGUUUAUACUGGGAAAUACUAUCGUUUUCCCUGUCCCAGUAACGGUUGCCAUUUAUCAAAGGAUAACGCUGAGGCUAACUGGCAGAUGUUCUUACAUGUCGAUGUCUAGAGGGAAGAGGACCAAGUGAAUACACAGAUGCAUCAUCCACUACAGAAACCGAGUCAACACCAUCUAGGCUUUACCAGCUCUGCACCGUUUUCAUCAGCAUCUGUAUGUUUCUAGGCUUUUCCAUUGUUUUAAUCAACAUCUGUAUCUUUAUACAACUUAAUAAAAGUAGACAGAGAUUAGUUGGUGGUUUAUAACAUGAUAGAGAGGUACUGUGGUCGAAACUUAGUGUAGCUGACUUUGGAACUGCAAAUACUAUGCAAGUGGCUUUGGUGUCAAUCUACUGAGUGUACUAGUUACGGAUUCAUAUACUAUUCCUUUAAAACUGGGGGAGGAAUUGCUAAAACUAAGUAGAAUGGCUAGAAUGUUUACCUAGCAAUUGAUUUCAUUGACUUCUGUGGUAGGCAUUUUUCUUUUUUUGUUUUACGCUAUGUUGCACUCGUAGCAGGCCAGGCUUAGAACUUAUUACUUAGUCUAGCUCAAACCGUUUGAGCUUUGCUAACAAUACGGAUAGUAUAUAAUAACAUUCGUCGUUUAAUUUGCUCUUUUGGUGUGUGCAAUGGAUUUCCGAGUUUUUAGUGGUAUACCAUGGCAAUCAAAACGGGCAGCUUGCUCUCGUUGAUGUAAAUACUUUAAUAAUUUUUCUGUGAGGACUUGAGCAGUAGGACUUUGAUGAUAGUUUUUCUGCAACACAAUGUCUAUUAUCAUUGUUAUUGGUGAAUCUUACUUUCUGGGUGUAAAGUUCAAAGCUGUGCCAUUAGGAAAGAUAGGCAUGUAGUCAGGAUUAGAUAACAACUCUUAAACAUAUUUUAGGCAUAGGAAAAAAUGUUACGCUUCCUGUUUCCCUACCGACCAUAGAAAAACCUGCCGACCCUAGACUUUUUUUUGGGGGGGGGGGUGGAUCCUUGAAAGGGACAUAAAUUUUCGAGCUGAUCAACCUUUUCUAGCCCCAUGAUCUGACAGCUGAUUAAAAACAUUGUACAAUUGGUUUUUAAAUAUUGACAUUAAAAAAAAAAGAAUAUCAUGCAGGUUUUAAUUUGUUAAACUGUAUUGUAUAAGUUGGACCCGUUUAUAGAUAUCACUGUUUAUAGAUAUAAGUCUAAAAAAGAACAAAAAAAGAUAAUCCCUUCCUACCGACCCUAAUUUUUCCAGAACUGAAACAGGAAACACAACAUUUGUUUCCUAGGCCUUACAUCAUUUAGCAUUGGUAGGUCACUAACAUCACGGAAACCUCCAAUGCCUUUUCGAAAUCGUACCAUCACAGAGAUUAAGAUUUAUGAAUGACAAGAAUUUGUCAGAAGAAGUAAGAACCUUGUGAUGUGAAAAAAAACAUCUUAUAUUGCUUAGCAUUGGUAUUUCACUAACAUCAAGAAAAACCUCCAAUGCUUUAAAUACAUUGUACCAUCACAAAGAUUAAGUUUCUAAGCUGCGCUAUUAGGAAACGAUAGGUAUAUAGUUAAUCAAGUAAGGACCUUGUGAUGAAAAAACACAAUUGUUUAACACCUACAAAUUGUUUAGCUCUAUUGGUUUGCCUCCAAUACCUUUUCAGACGCUUUGCCAUCACAAAGAUUAAGUUUUUACGCCGCGCUAUUAGGAAACGAUAAGCAUAGAGUCACAACAAGUAAGGACCUUGUGAUGAAAAAACCAAUUUCAACAUCUAACAUCGGUUAACAUUGGUUGGUCAAUAACAUAAUGAAUCCUCCAAUACUAUAGAAAGUGUACCAUCACAACGAUUAAGUUUUUCAAGCCGUGCUAUUAGGAAACGAUAAGAAUAUAGUUACAACAAGUAAGGACCUUGUGAUGAAAAAAAAGAGCAAUUAGUUGACACCUACAUAUUGUUCAGUGUUGGUGGUUUACCUCCAAUGCCUUUGAAGACAUUUACCGUCACAAAGAUUAAGUUUAUCUGAGCUGUGCUAUUAGGAAACGAUAAGCAUAAAGUUAGGAACAAGUAAGGACCUUGUGAUGAAAAAAAAUGUUUGACAUCUACACAUUGUUUAGCUUUGGUAGGUAACCUCCAUUGUUUUUGGUAGGCUAACUCCAAUGCUUUUGAAAGAAGUCACAAUGAUUAAGAUUUUAAAUGUUAAGGUUUGCUUGCAAUUUUGCGGCUUGUAAGGUAUAGGUAUGAUAAGUGACAGCCCUGUAAUUAUGCAGUGUGUAACAUCUGUCUUCAGUUGGAAGUCAAACUGAUUUUUACAGACUGUCUUAUUUUUUAUAUUCAAUUUCAUAAGAAACGUUAAUGCACUAACGACAAGAGAAGUACAAUGUGGUUGAGUUAAAGUGUUAAACACCGGUUUGUUGUAAGAUGAUCGAAUCCAUCAGAAUGGUUCUCCUCACAGAGCUACAACUCUUUAAUUAUAUACUAAGUGCUAUUUUAAUACCUUAUAUGGCUUAUUUUAGAUCAAGUAGGCACCUGGCGAUCAGUCUUGUUCAUCGCCUAGGAGACACCUGAACUGAGCACUUUAUUGUGUUUCUGGAACCAUCUUUUGUUUGUUGCAUUGCAGAACUUUUGCACUUUGUAAGACAAGUUAGAAAAUCAAUUUGUACAACAGGACCAGUGUAGGGUAACUGCGGGUAGACAUAAAGAUACCUGCACAUUUCCAAUUGAACACCAAACCUGUUCGACCUAAAGUUCGUUCUAAAACAAAUAUCUAAUCCAUAUUUUGCAAUACUAUACUGCAAUUGUCCUGUGCAACAUAACCCCUAAUAUACCACCAAAUUGUCUCCGGGGUUUGUCAAUUCUAGAUCGUCAUGAUUCAAGUUACAAUUUUUUAUCAUGCUCUUUUAUUGAAAUAGUGUGUAGGUAAUAAUGAAGCUACAACAUGUUCGCACACAUGGAACCCUCCGGUAACAUCAUGGGGAAGACGGAUAUGUAUUUUAACCUUUGAUUUUAUUGACUGAUUUUUCCACCACGUCAGCUUGUCAGUUUUAUCUUACAUCAACCAUCUGUCAGUUCUUGAAAUAUGUUGUCAAUCAAAGGACACACUAUCUGUAUGUGUACACAUAUAUAAGUAAGAUGCCUCGAACAACAUGGCAUCAAUACCAAGGCACAAAAGAUCUUCAGAAAUGUAUCAUC